rnacentral:ncRNA from 1 species
UUAAAGGUUAUGACAAAGAGGAGUACGCAUGUUGCGCCCACAGAGAGGGAUAUUCAGAGGCUGAAAGGUAUCCCGGGAAGGUGUAUGCGGAAGGUAGCUUUGGAACUGGAGAGCUGAACUCUCGGAAAGCGGAGAAAAGUAGGUUUUCACGAUUCGUCCCCGUUACAGGACUCAGAGAAGUAUGGACGCAGAGAGUUUUAGGAGUUCAUAUAAGCAAGGUGGUACCGCGAGAUAUUCGCCCUUCUU